rnacentral:rRNA from 1 species
AGUGAACGCUGGCGGUAGGCCUAACACAUGCAAGUCGAACGGCAGCACAGUAAGAGCUUGCUCUUACGGGUGGCGAGUGGCGGACGGGUAAGGAAUACAUCGGAAUCUACUUUUUCGUGGGGGAUAACGUAGGGAAACUUACGCUAAUACCGCAUACGACCUACGGGUGAAAGCAGGGGAUCUUCGGACCUUGCGCGAUUGAAUGAGCCGAUGUCGGAUUAGCUAGUUGGCGGGGUAAAGGCCCACCAAGGCGACGAUCCGUAGCUGGUCUGAGAGGAUGAUCAGCCACAAUGGAACUGAGACACGGUCCAGACUCCUACGGGAGGCAGCAGUGGGGAAUAUUGGACAAUGGGCGCAAGCCUGAUCCAGCCAUACCGCGUGGGUGAAGAAGGCCUUCGGGUUGUAAAGCCCUUUUGUUGGGAAAGAAAAGCAGCAGGUUAAUACCCCGCUGUUCUGACGGUACCCAAAGAAUAAGCACCGGCUAACUUCGUG